CUUUCCCACUCAGAGCCGGCUUUUUCGGAGAGAGCCACCACAGAUAAGGCACAUGAUGAAAUCUCCGGAGAGCCUGGAGCUACCUGCCGCCUGGUGAUGGGGAUCUGAGACGGAGCAGCUGACGGGGACCCGCAACUGGCAGCCAACCUGCUCACCCCAGGCUGGGUCCCCCUGAGACCCUCAGCACCUGCCCGAGUCCGCCAGGAAAUUCUGCUUGGAAACCUCAGGAUGGGAACAAACUGCAGUGGUGGGGGGCACUGUGUUUUAGUCAAGGUUCGUAUUGUUCCUCUGAUCCUUACCCUGUCUCAGACAAAGUCUCCUGCAAGCGUGGAAGCUAAAUUCCCUUGGAUGUGCCUGAGGGUGCUUGUGAGUCUGGCUGCCAGCGGUCGGGUCCGAAAACCACCGUGAGAGUCGCUACAGCAUCCCCGCCCGCAGGGACAGCUGUCCGCAGCGCAAGAGCCACCUUGUCCCCCAUCGGAGAGGAGACACCGCUGUGCUGCUGGCAACGGCAGGUAGAAAGUCCUCUCCCCGCGGAAGAGGCAGCAGGAUCCCCAGGUACCCCCAGCGCUGCCCCGCUGGCUCUCAACCCAGGGGCCGCGGGCACGGCGAGCUGCUGCCUGCCCUGCGGGCUGCCCCACGACGGGGCUUUGCGUUCUUCUCACCACGCGGAGGGCAGGCAAACACAGCCCCGCUAUGUACGGCUUACGCACGUCAGCGCCGCGGCCUCGCUCCCCCGGGCUUUGGGGGCGGGCGGGUGGGUGAAUGGCUAAAACACCACAACCGGUCCUCGGGGGAAAAAAAAGUCAAACUCCUCUCGGUGCUGUGCAGGGCCCCAGACACUGCAGGAAGUGCCUUUUGGGGGAGCGCGAACCUUUGGCAUCAGCGGGAGACUCGCCCCGGCCGGGGGCUGUUCUCAGUGAGGCGGCUGGAAAACGCCUCCACGGCGAGAAAGCGAGCGCUCGCCGGAGAUACAGAACUGGACAGAUCAAGAAGUCAAGAUUUUGCAUUCCAACUAUCUAUAGGAAAUAGGGUUUUUUUAUUAUUUCAAGUUUUCAUAAAAAUCCAUAAUUAUUGAAAUCAAAGUUACAGAAGAAAGUUCGUAACUUUUUAUUGAUUUUAUUUCUUUUUUUUCUUUCUUUUUUUUUCCCCCCUCUGUUGCUUUUCCCUCUCAGUUAUAUCUGACACCAAAGUCCAUCAGACAAAGUCCUUACAAACACAGGAGUCCUGAAGACAUCGGCUGAAUGUUUUCCUGGUAUAAAGAAGAAGAGGAGAAGAAAGAGGUGGUGACAGUGCGGGUGCAGUGGGUUUGGACAGGGGCAGAGGGCGUGGUGGAAGGAGAGAGGUCGGUAUGUUUGUAGCAAUGUUUGUUUUUUAAUUAUUUUUUAUUUGUUCAUUUGUUCUUUUUUUUUAAAAAAAACAACAACAACCACCAUUAUU
rnacentral:lncRNA from 1 species